UGUAAGCGUAUACCAAAGUUGUUGCAGUUAAAACGCUCGUAGUCGGAACUUGGCAGUUCCGGAUGUGUGCACGUCGUGUGCGCACUUCGCGGGGAUUGCUUUUGUGGUCUUGCGUAGGAUGAGGCACUUUUAUUAGUGAACGUCCUCACGCAACCACUUUUUACUGUGAGAAAAUCAGAGUGCUCAAAGCAGGCAUUUGCCGUGAAUGUAUUAGCAUGGAAUAAUAGAAUAGGACUUGGUUCUAUUUUGUUGGUUUGUUGGGACUGAGUAAUGAUUAAGAGGGACAGUUGGGAGCAUUUGUAUUUCGGUGCUAGAGGUGAAAUUCUUAGAUUACCGAAAGACAAACUGCUGCGAAAGCGUCUGCCAAGGAUGUUUUCAUUGA
rnacentral:rRNA from 1 species